UAGCUCUGGUUUCUCUUAAGUCACGCAUAAUUCUUUCGCCUUUUACUAAAGACUUCCGUGGAGAGGAACAUCAAUGAGUUUGAUGUAUUUUUAUGAGCUUUGCUCGGGCAAAGCU